rnacentral:rRNA from 1 species
UGGGGAAUUUUGGACAAUGGGCGCAAGCCUGAUCCAGCCGUGCCGCGUGAGUGAAGAAGGCCUUCGGGUUGUAAAGCUCUUUCGGACGGGAAGACAUGGCGGGCUCUAACAUAGCCUGUCGAUGACGGUACCGUAAGAAGAAGCACCGGCUAACUACGUGCCAGCAGCCGCGGUAAUACGUAGGGUGCGAGCGUUAAUCGGAAUUAAUGGGCGUAAAGCGUGCGCAGGCGGUUUUGUAAGACAGAUGUGAAAUCCCCGGGCUUAACCUGGGAUCUUCGGUUGUGACUGCAAGGCUGGAGUACGGCAGAGGGGGGUGGAAUUCCACGUGUAGCAGUGAAAUGCGUAGAGAUGUGGAGGAACACCGAUGGCGAAGGCAGCCCCCUGGGCCUGUACUGACGCUCAUGCACGAAAGCGUGGGG